ensembl:miRNA
GCUGUUGGCAACUGGCACUGUGGUUCCUGCAUGAAAACAGUGGCUGGUGGGGCCUGGACCUACAACACUACAUCUGCUGUCACAGUGAAGUCUGCC